AGCGGUAGAGAGAAGCUUGCUUCUCUUGAGAGCGGCGGACGGGUGAGUAAUGCCUAGGAAUCUGCCUGGUAGUGGGGGAUAACGUUCGGAAACGGACGCUAAUACCGCAUACGUCCUACGGGAGAAAGCAGGGGACCUUCGGGCCUUGCGCUAUCAGAUGAGCCUAGGUCGGAUUAGCUAGUUGGUGGGGUAAUGGCUCACCAAGGCGACGAUCCGUAACUGGUCUGAGAGGAUGAUCAGUCACACUGGAACUGAGACACGGUCCAGACUCCUACGGGAGGCAGCAGUGGGGAAUAUUGGACAAUGGGCGAAAGCCUGAUCCAGCCAUGCCGCGUGUGUGAAGAAGGUCUUCGGAUUGUAAAGCACUUUAAGUUGGGAGGAAGGGCAGUUACCUAAUACGUGAUUGUUUUGACGUUACCGACAGAAUAAGCACCGGCUAACUCUGUGCCAGCAGCCGCGGUAAUACAGAGGGUGCAAGCGUUAAUCGGAAUUACUGGGCGUAAAGCGCGCGUAGG
rnacentral:rRNA from 1 species